rnacentral:rRNA from 1 species
AACUUUCAACAACGGAUCUCUUGGUUCUGGCAUCGAUGAAAAACGCAGCGAAAUGCGAUAAGUAAUGUGAAUUGCAAAAUUCAGUGAAUCAUCGAAUCUUUGAACGCACAUUGCGCCCGCUGGAAUUCCAGCGGGCAUGCCUGUUCAAGCGUCAUUU